AAAGAGAAAAAUUAUAAAAAAUAUCAAAUGAUAAAAUAAAAAAUUUUAAAAAACAUUUUUAGGUACUAAAAAUCAAAAGAGAAAUAAUGCAAUUGGUCUCACAUUUUUUGGAUUUAAAAUGAAUGAGAUAUGAUUUUUUGAAAUGAAAUGGAAUAAAAGAAAUAAAAUGGAAAUUAAAAUCAGAAAUAGAAAAUGAGAAAAAACAUGAUGCGUUGGAUUCAGGCUCAUUAAUUGAGCUGGCGCAUCAAACGAUUAUCAUGCGCGC
rnacentral:lncRNA from 1 species